GGGGGGGCAAGCGUUGUUCGGAAUUACUGGGCGUAAAGGGCGCGCAGGCGGGCGGGAAAGUCUCUCGUGAAAUCCCACGGCUCAACCGUGGAACUGCGGGAGAUACUACUCGUCUUGAGUCCGGGAGAGGAGUGUGGAAUUCCCAGUGUAGCGGUGAAAUGCGUAGAUAUUGGGAGGAACACCGGUGGCGAAGGCGGCACUCUGGACCGGUACUGACGCUGAGGCGCGAAAGCUAGGGGAGCAAACGGGAUUAGAUACCCCGGGUAGUCCUAGCUGUAAACGCUGAGCACUUGGUGUAGCGGGUAUCGACCCCCUGCUGUGCCGAAGCUAACGCAUUAAGUGCUCCGCCUGGGGGAUACGGUCGCAAGGCUG
rnacentral:rRNA from 1 species